UAUCGGAACGUAUCCUGAAAUGGGGGAUAGCCCGGCGAAAGCCGGAUUAAUACCGCAUACGAUCUACGGAUGAAAGCAGGGGACCGCAAGGCCUUGCGUUUCUGGAGCGGCCGAUAUCUGAUUAGCUAGUUGGUGGGGUAAAGGCCCACCAAGGCGAUGAUCAGUAGCUGGUCUGAGAGGAUGAUCAGCCACACUGGGACUGAGACACGGCCCAG
rnacentral:rRNA from 1 species